rnacentral:rRNA from 1 species
UACGUAGGGUGCAAGCGUUGUCCGGAAUUAUUGGGCGUAAAGAGCGUGUAGGCGGCCAGAUAGGUCCGUUGUGAAAACUGGAGGCUUAACCUCCAGCGGUCGAUGGAAACCAUUUGGCUAGAGUCCGGAAGAGGAGAGUGGAAUUCCUGGUGUAGCGGUGAAAUGCGCAGAUAUCAGGAAGAACACCCGUGGCGAAGGCGGCUCUCUGGGACGGUACUGACGCUGAGACGCGAAAGCGUGGGGAGCGAACAGG